GACAAGACUAAUGCAGAUAUACCAAUGGCCCACAGCUUCCUUCCUCUUGACAGAGCGAAGGCAGAGCAAAUUUACAUGAUUGAAUGUUACUACAGCCUCUGGCAUGACCAGCAGAUGACAGGUAGGUAAACUGAAGAAAUAUCCUUGUUUUAAAGAAACACAGAUUUCUAAAGACCUAAAUUCUACCAUGUGCAUACAGAGCAAAGCUUGUAGGAUUCCUGUAGGAAAUCUUUAUUACAAAAAUAAACUUAAAAGUUUCUUAAAGCAAAAGGGGCCUGUCUGGGAAUCAGUGCCAAAGUCAUGAGAACUUAUCCAAUGGUGCGCUGCUAAAUGUUUAACAAUUGGCUUUCUGAAAAAACAAAAAAGCUUAUUUGUAGUGGUUGCCCAUUUCUGUGGUGUAAAUAUUUCCACCAUUUCAGUUUCAAGUUUUCAAUGUGAUAUCACUGAAUGCAGAAUUGGAAAGAGAAGCUAGGAAUUGGCUCUCAAGAGCCAGAAUGAGCCGGCUUUAGCAUACCGGUGACAUUAGAUGGGAGAAAGAAGAUACUCCAUAGCCCAGAUUUGUAAAAAUAUGUGUCAGAUUUGAAACAGCCUAACUGAAAUGAAUAUGCUAUUGUAUCAGAGCUGUAAAUGAAAAACACAUUAAUUAUUUUUGUUUCUAAUAUCAGUGAAACAAAUUCUUUUCAGACACAUCCCAGUAAUUCUUUUUGUGUUGCUCUUUGUUGUUAUUCUCUGGAAAAUUUACUGUCAGGAAGCUGCUGCUUUCAAGAAUUUCAACUCUGAAAGAGGGAGAAAGAGGAGGAUUUGAGACCCUGGGAGUCAGGAGUGCUCCCGUGGCUGUGCAAUCCCUCCUCCAGUCACCAGCAGUCCCCAAUCUUCACCUGCUAGCCCAUCAUUCCUUCCAUAGUCACGUCUACCAUCACAACCAGCACGCCAGCCUGCUUUGGACUUUGGUAUCACUGACAAGGACGCCACGUCCUCUUCCCAGGCUCUUAUCUCCAGGUCUCACCCAGGCUUUAGGGAGAACUUCUUUUUAUUUUCCAUGGCACUUCCUCGUUCUGAGAAGAUGUCUCCCUGUGGCAGCAUUGCCUCAGACCCAGUUUCCACCAGCCUGCCUGCACAGUCAGCAGCCCAAACGCAACUUUCAAACUCCCUUUGACCUGGGAACCACCACCAUCCCUUGGCCCACAUUUAGGGCUCCUGAUGGGCUGCAGCCUGGAGCCACCCAAUGGCAGCUCUCUCCCUUUUGGAAGCCAGCCAGCUCUAGCACAAGCUACAAUUUGAGCUU
rnacentral:lncRNA from 1 species